GCCGGGUGUGGCAGUGUGCGCCUGUAAUCCCAGCUACUCCGGAGGCUGAGGCAGGAGAAUUGCUAGAACCCGGGAGGCAGAGGUUGCAGUGAGCCGAGAUCACGCCACUGCACUCCAGCCUGGGUGACAGAGCAAGACUCUGUCUCUA
rfam:Gorilla gorilla gorilla genomic chromosome, chr20, whole genome shotgun sequence